rnacentral:rRNA from 1 species
GACGAACGCUGGCGGCGUGCUUAACACAUGCAAGUCGAACGGAAAGGUCCUGCUUUUGUGGGGUGCUCGAGUGGCGAACGGGUGAGUAACACGUGAGUAACCUGCCCUUGACUUUGGGAUAACUUCAGGAAACUGGGGCUAAUACCGGAUAGGAGCUCCUGCUGCAUGGUGGGGGUUGGAAAGUUUCGGCGGUUGGGGAUGGACUCGCGGCUUAUCAGCUUGUUGGUGGGGUAGUGGCUUACCAAGGCUUUGACGGGUAGCCGGCCUGAGAGGGUGACCGGCCACAUUGGGACUGAGAGACGGCCCAGACUCCUACGGGAGGCAGCAGUGGGGAAUAUUGCACAAUGGGCGGAAGCCUGAUGCAGCAACGCCGCGUGCGGGAUGACGGCCUUCGGGUUGUAAACCGCUUUCGCCUGUGACGAAGCGUGAGUGACGGUAAUUGGUAAAGAAGCACCGGCUAACUACGUG